AGACGAGGUUUCACCAUGUUAGCCAGGAUGGUCUUGAUCUCCUGACCUCGUGACCCGCCCGCCUCGGCCUGGGAUUACAGAUGAUCACGUCUCUUCGCUUCCAGUCCUCAGAUACCUUAGAUACUUUGUUUCUUUUUCUUGCCUUAUAACAUUACUCACGACUUUCAGCUCCAUGUUAAAGAACAGCAGUGUUACCUUCCCCCAGCACCUCCUGCCCAUCUUGUUCCUGCUGUACCUCCUGAUGUUCCUGUUCACAUUGCUGGGCAACCUUCUCAUCAUGGCCACAAUCUGGAUUGAACACAGACUCCACACACCCAUGUACCUCUUCUUGUGUGCCCUCUCCAUCUCUGAGAUUCUGUUCACUGUUGCCAUCACCCCUCGCAUGCUGGCUGAUCUGCUUCCCACCCAUCAUUCCAUCACCUUUGUGGCUUGUGCCAACCAGAUGUUCUUCUCCUUCAUGUUUGGCUUCACUCACUCCUUCCUUCUCAUGGUCAUGGGCUAUGAUCGCUAUGUGGCCAUCUGCCACCCACUGCGUUACAAUGUGCUCAUGAGCCCCCGUGACUGUGCCCGUCUUGUGGCCUGUACCUGGGCUGGUGGCUCAGUCAUGGGGAUGAUGGUGACAAUGAUAGUUUUCCACCUCACUUUCUGUGGGUCUAAUGUGAUCCACCAUUUUUUCUGUCAUGUGCUUUCCCUCUUAAAGUUGGCCUGUGAAAACAAGACAUCAUCUGUCAUCAUGGGUGUGAUGCUGGUGUGUGUCACAGCCCUGAUAGGCUGUUUAUUCCUCAACAUCCUCUCCUAUGUCUUCAUUGUGGCUGCCAUCUUGAGGAUUCCCUCUGCCGAAGGCCAGCACAAGACUUUUUCUACGUGUGUAUCCCACCUCACUGUGGUGGUCACGCACUAUAGUUUUGCCUCCUUUAUCUACCUCAAGCCCAAGGGCCUCCAUUCUAUGUACAGUGAUGCCUUGAUGGCCACCACCUAUACUGUCUUCACCCCCUUCCUUAGCCUAAUCAUUUUCAGCCUAAGGAACAAGGAGCUGAAGAAUGCCAUAAAUAAAAACUUUUACAGAAAAUUCUGUCCUCCAAGUUCCUGAGCGCCAGUUUGGUGGUGAUAAAAUAUAAUAAUGUGUAUCUCCAUAGGGCUGUUGUAAGGGUUCAGGUAUGUGAAAAUAUGUGUUUGAUACAUACUAGCUAUUGUUUUCCCUUCCCUUUUUGCUUAAGCUCAAGUGAUCAUAAUCUUUUCUUUAUGAGCCAUUGUGAUGACCUUUAUCCCAUUAUCUGUGCCUAGAAAUGUGUUUUCUGUCCACAGACAGGUGGGGAUCAUCACGUGGAUGUGUCUGGGCACUUAUGAACACAGUUCUUCUUGAAUGGACAGGCAAAAAAGAUUUUAUUUUCCCCUAGUGUAAGAAAAAGCAAGAAUAACAUGAUAGUCAUAAAUGCCACCGAGCACUGAGCUUUUUCUAUGUAUUGGCACUGUGUCCAGUGU
rnacentral:sRNA from 1 species